GCCUUAAUAGCUCAGUGGUAGAGCGUCUGUCUUGUAAACAGAAGGUCCCCAGUUCAAUCCUGGGUUGAGGCA
rnacentral:tRNA from 1 species